CAAUCACCCAAACAGCCAAGUAGCCAAAAACUCCAGCCUUCCUACACCGAGAGCACCCAAAGCGCAGGCGCGCGUUUGAUCAACCCCUGUAUUCCCUCGCUCUUCUUUUCGUCCCCGUCGCACCGUCUCCCACCGCGCGAUGGCGCCGAGCGCAAGCCCUAGCCCGGGCCUAGCGGUUACGGCGCCGGUCCACCAGGCCCGCGUGCGGGUGCUCCACCCGGGGCAGGGCCUGCCCCCCGCUGGCGCGAAGCCCGGCCCGGUGGUCUACUGGAUGCUGCGGGACCAGCGGCUAGCCGACAACUGGGCGCUCCUCCACGCGGCGAGCCUCGCCGCCGCUUCCGCGGCGCCGCUCGCCGUCGCGUUCUCCCUGUUCCCGAAGCCGUUCCUCCUCUCCGCGCGCCGCCGCCAACUCGGAUUCCUCCUCCGUGGCCUCCGCCGGCUCGCCGCCGACGCCGCCACCCGCCGCAUCCCCUUCUUCCUCCUUACCGGUGGGCCCAUGGAGAUACCAGCGCUGGUGCAGCGGCUCGGGGCGUCGGCGCUGGUUGCCGACUUCUCACCGCUCCGGCCGGUUCGCGAGGCACUGGACGCAGUAGUCGGCGCGCUGUGCCGCGAUGCUGCCAGUGUGGCCGUUCACCAGGUGGACGCCCACAACGUGGUGCCGGUAUGGGCGGCAUCGGGGAAGCUGGAGUACUCUGCCAAGACCUUCAGAAGCAAGAUGAACAAGGUGUUGGACGAGUACCUGGUCGACUUCCCCGAGUUUGCAGAGGUGGUGCCAUGGGACAGGGACCAACCAAAGGACAUUGAUUGGGAUACGCUAAUUGACACGGUUUGCAGCCAGGCAGAGGACGUGCCAGAGAUUGACUGGUGUGAGCCAGGCGAGGCGGCAGCAAUGGAGGCACUUCUGGGUACCAAGGAUGGGUUCCUAACGGAGAGGAUCAAGAGCUAUGAUUCGGACCGGAAUUAUCCCACAAAGCCAACGGCAUUGUCCGGCCUCUCUCCCUACCUGCAUUUUGGGCAUAUUUCAGCACAAAGAUGUGCUCUCGAGGCAAAAAAACGUCGCCAUCUUAGUCCCAAGUCAGUGGAUGCUUUCUUGGAGGAGCUGAUAAUAAGGAGAGAGCUAGCCGACAACUUCUGCUACUAUCAGCCUCACUAUGAUUCGGUAGCCGGGGCUUGGGAGUGGGCGAGGAAGACACUGAAGGAUCAUGCUGCCGACAAAAGAGAGCACAUUUACACGAGGGAGCAGCUUGAGAAUGCAAAAACAGCUGAUCCUCUCUGGAAUGCAUCACAGUUGGAGAUGGUCCACCAUGGAAAAAUGCAUGGAUUCAUGCGAAUGUAUUGGGCCAAAAAAAUUCUAGAAUGGACCAGUGGACCUGAAGAAGCACUUUCAAUAGCAAUAUAUUUGAAUGACAAGUAUCACAUAGACGGCAGGGACCCCAAUGGCUAUGUUGGUUGCAUGUGGUCUAUCUGUGGCCUCCAUGAUCAGGGUUGGAAGGAGCGUCUGGUAUUUGGAAAGAUACGUUACAUGAAUUAUGCUGGUUGCAAGAGAAAAUUCAACGUCGAUGCCUACAUUUCUUACGUCAAAAGAUUGGUUGCUCAACCCAAGAAAAGGAAACCGGAGGAAUCUCUGAAUUCAGCAGCCAAGUACUCGAAGUCUGAGAAGGACUAGUCCAGCUACUAACUCUAGUUCCGCAUUGAUUUUGUUUCUGGUCUAUAGUGGUAAUUGGCAGUUAAAGACAACUUAAAUAUUGCAAUUAGUUGUUUGUUCAUUUUAGCUCGUGGGUUACAUAGGAUUUUUUUUGCGGGGAGGUUUACAUAGGCAUUUGAUCUUCAACAGUAAGAAUGUAGAGGCAUGCUCUCUCGCUCCAUGAUGCAUCUUCGAGAAAUCUUCGCUAAAGGCACAUAUACCUGUGUACCCACGUCGUCACAUCCUCUUGCCCUGCUUCUCCAUGAGAAACUAGACCGCCUCCUCCAUCUCGCUGCCUCAAUGAGAAUGGCAUCUCAAAACUGCGAGGCGCAAUGAGAUCAGACUGGAUAGCACUCCCGCUCGAUCUCAUUUGUUACUUUGCCGACCUCAUCCUUACCACCAGCGAGAUGUUUACAUUGAC
rnacentral:rRNA from 1 species